rnacentral:rRNA from 1 species
UUUCACUAUUCGAUUGUUANGGUAGAGGCCUGCCCUGGUGGUAAGGAUUAACGUGGUGUUAGGGCACGACACCGGAGAGGGAGCNUGAGAAACGGCUACCACAUCCAAGGAUGGCAGCAGGGCGCGCAAAUUACUCAAUCCCGACACGGGGAGGUAGUGACAAUAAAUAACAAUACGGGGUUCUUUCGGAUUUCGUAAUUGGAAUGAGUACAAUUUAAAUCUCUUAACGAGGAACAAUUGGAGGGCAAGUCUGGUGCCAGCAGCCGCGGUAAUUCCAGCUCCAAUAGCGUAUAUUAAAGUUGCUGCAGUUAAAAAGCUCGUAGUUGAAUUUCGGGACCAAUAUGUCGGUCGUGCCUCGGUACGUACUGGCAUCGUUGGUUUCUCCCUUCUGACGAACCAUGAUGUCAUUUAUUUGGUGUCGUGGGGAAUCAGGACUGUUACUUUGAAAAAAUUAGAGUGUUUAAAGCAGGCUCACGCUUGAAUACAUUAGCAUGGAAUAAUGAAAUAGGACGUUUGAUUCUAUUUUGUUGGUUUCUAGGAUCGACGUAAUGAUUAAUAGGGAUAGUUGGGGGCAUUAGUAUUCAAUUGUCAGAGGUGAAAUCCUUGGAUUUAUUGAAGACUAACUACUGCGAAAGCAUUUGCCAAGGAUGUUUUCAUUAAUCAAGAACGAAAGUUAGGGGAUCGAAGACGAUCAGAUACCGUCGUAGUCUUAACCGUAAACUAUGCCGACUAGGGAUCGGAUGAUGUUAAUUUUUUAAUGACUCAUUCGGCGCCUUACGGGAAACCAAAGUGUUUGGGUUC